UGACAGACAAUUGUCUUUUUGUCAAAUUUAAAGACAAAAGAAACAGAUCUUUCAUGAUUAUGUGAUGGGUGGUGCAUGGCCGUUCUUAGUUCGUGGAGUGAUCUGUCUGCUUAAUUGCGUUUCAAAUAUAUUUUAUUAUAUAACGAGUCUACAAAGGAGUGGUUCAUUAACAGACAAUCAUAUCUUUGAGCGUCUGGAAUCUACUCUAUUUGGCUCAAUUGAACGCAACGGACGUGAUCGCGAGUCCUUGUUGAACUUCAGUAUAUAUUGACUUUCCCCGUAGGAAGGGAUUGGCAAUAAUUGAAUGUUCGCUUUCUAUAGGUGUGUAUGAUUAAUCUCAAAAUUACAUGUAUUUGUAAUGGCGAGUAUAAUUUACUAUCCUAUAGGAAA
rnacentral:rRNA from 1 species